AUGGAUAUAUUACGAGCAUCUGAAAUAACUAGUGAAUUACAACUCUAUUGUAUUGCAAUUGGUGCAUUGAUUUUUGCAGCGUUAAUGCUUUUUGCUAGUUGGUUCCAUUAUCACAAAGCCGCUCCCAAAUUGGCCUGGUUCCAAGAUGUAGAAUCCAUGUUGAAUCACCACUUAGCGGGAUUAUUAGGACUUGGGUCUCUUUCUUGGGCGGGGCACCAAAUUCAUGUAUCUUUACCAAUUAACCAAUUUCUUGACGCUGGGUGGAUCCUAAAGAGAUACCACUUCCUCAUGAAUUUAUCUUGA
rnacentral:rRNA from 1 species